CUUUAGGCAGGAAUUCUCUAUCCCAGCCGAUGUUCAUCUUAAACUAGCUGGGGACAGUGAUACCAUCAUACCCACAGACCAUACGAUGCCCUUCCCUAUAGUAGCUUUCACCGAAUGUGGACUUCGGCUUCCACUUGAUCCCCUGUUUCGCGAAGUUCUUUACUUCUAUAGGCUGAACCCCAUGCAACUUACUAUCAAUUCCUAUAGGGUAAUUAACGGUAUUAUUGCUUUAGCUAGGCAAGAGAACCUUAGAAUUACCCUGGCCGACCUUCAAUACUGCUGUACCAUGUGCCCUCUUGACCUGAAGGAUAGGGGUUUCGUUUAUUACCUUAAACCGAGAUCUACUCAGUACAAAAUCGUAGCCGACCUCCCAGACUCCAACAAGGGGGCUGGAGAUGAUUUUCUCAUUGCUUCUGGAAAUUGGUAAUUUGGCCCUGAUGAAGAUGUCCACCUCUACCCUCUUCCUCGAACAAUUACAGAGGGCAAGAAUUUUCGUCAGCCACCGAAAAAUUUUCGUCAAUCCUUCUUCCCAGGAACAGAUCUAAAAACACUCCUUAACCUUCCAAUCCAUAAACGAAAAGCCCCACUGUUACUAAACUUCAUCCCUACAUACAAAUCCACUUUACCCGA